AACGAACGUUGGCGGCGUGGAUGAGGCAUGCAAGUCGCACGUGAAAGUCGCAAGAUGAGUAAAGUGGCGGACGGGCGAGUAACACGUAAUCGAGCUGCCCACGAGACGGGGAUAACCUCGGGAAACCGAGGCUAAUACCCGAUGGUCUCACCGGAUCGCAUGGUCUGGUGAGUAAAUGCUGGGGUCCUUCGGGACCUGGUGCUUGUGGAGGUGAUUGCGGCCCAUCAGCUAGUUGGCGGGGUAACGGCCCACCAAGGCGAUGACGGGUAGCCGGCCUAAGAGGGUGGUCGGCCGCACUGGGACUGAGAUACUGCCCAGACUCCUACGGGAGGCUGCAGUCGAGAAUCUUCCGCAAUGGGCGAAAGCCUGACGGAGCGACGCCGCGUGGAGGACGAAGGCCUUCGGGUUGUAAACGUCCUGUCACGGAUUAAGAAUAGGCUCGGCGUGAACAACGCCGGGAUUGACGUAAGUCCGAGAGGAAGCACUGGCUAACUACUGUGCCAGCAGCCGCGGUAAUC
rnacentral:rRNA from 1 species